rnacentral:rRNA from 1 species
CCUUCGGUUGAUCCUGCCGGAGAUCACCGCUAUUUGGGUUCGGCUUAUCCAUGCGAGACGAGAGGGGUUAAGCCCUCGUCGUACUGCUGAGUAACACGUAGUCAACUUAACCUUAGGUCAGGGAUAAUCUUGGGAAACUGAGGCUAAUACCUGAUGUAUUAUAGAUACUGGAAUGUUCUAUAACUCAAAGCUUCGGCGCCUAAGGAUAGGACUGCGGCCUAUCAGCUUGUUGUCAGGAUAAAAACCUGACAAGGCUAUAACGGGUAAGGGCCAUGAGAGUGGAUGCCCUCAGAUGCUCUCUGAGACAUUAGAGCAGGGCCUACGGGUCGCAGCAGGAGCGAAAACUUUCCAAUGCGUUAACGCGUGAGAAGGGAACCUAAAGUGGUUGCAAUUAAAUUGUAACCUUUUGUAUAGGCUAAAGAUCUAUUCGAAUAAGGAGUGGGCCAGACGGGUGCCAGCCGCCACGGUAAUACCUGCGCUCCAAGUGGUGAUCAUUUUUAUUGGGCUUAAAGCGUCCGUAGCCGGCUUAAUAAGUCUUUGGUGAAAUCCUGCAGCUAACUGCAGGGCGUGCCAGAGAUACUGUUAAGCUUGGGACCGGGAGAAGUCAGGGGUAUUCCAUGUGUAGGGGUUAAAUCCUUUAAUCCAUGGAGGACCACCUGUGGCGAAGGCGCCUGACUAGAACGGGUCUGACGGUGAGGGACGAAAGCUAGGGGAGCGACCGGGAUUAGAUACCCCGUUAGUCCUAGCUGUAAACGAUGUCCGCUUGGUGUCACAUAUUCUACGCGAAUAUGUGGUGCCGGAGUGUAAAUGUUAAGCGGACCGCCUGGGGAGUACGUCCGCAAGGAUGAAACUUAAUGGAAUUGGCGGGGGAGCACACAAGGAGUGGAGGCUGCGGUUCAAUUGGAUUCGACGCCGAACAACUCACGGGGGUUGACAGCAUUAUGAUGGUCACUCUGAAGGGGUUACCUGAAGCGCUGAGAGGUGUUGCAUGGCCAACGUCAGCUCGUACCAUGAGGCGUGCGCUUAAGUGCGUUAACGAGCAAGACCCACGCCGUCAUUUGCAACUAGCCUUUCCGAAGGCUAAGCACCAUGACGGGACCGCUGGUGAUGAACCAGAGGAAGGUGUGGACAACGUUAGGUCCGUAUGACCCGAAUACCCUCGGCUACACGCGGCCUACAAUGGAUGGCACAGUGCGACGCAACACCGAAAGGUGAAGCUAAUCGCGGAAAACCAUCCUUAGUUCGGAUUGAGGAUUGUAAUUCAUCCUCAUGAAGCUGGAAUUCCUAGUAGGCGAACGUCACUAUCGUUCGCCGAAUACGUCCCUGCUCUUUGCACUCACCGCCCGUCAA